GAGUUUGAUCCUGGCUCAGAUUGAACGCUGGCGGCAUGCCUUACACAUGCAAGUCGAACGGCAGCACGGGAGCAAUCCUGGUGGCGAGGUGGCGAACGGGUGAGUAAUACAUCGGAACGUGCCCAGUAGUGGGGGGAUAACCCGACGAAAGCCGGACUAAUACCGCAUACGGACCUACGGGUGAAAGCAGGGGAUCGCAAGACCUUGCGCUAUCGGAGCGGCCGAUGUCAGAUUAGCUUGUUGGCGGGGUAAAAGCCCACCAAGGCGACGAUCUGUAGCUGGUCUGAGAGGACGACCAGCCACACUGGGACUGAGACACGGCCCAGACUCCUACGGGAGGCAGCAGUGGGGAAUUUUGGACAAUGGGCGCAAGCCUGAUCCAGCCAUGCCGCGUGCGGGAAGAAGGCC
rnacentral:rRNA from 1 species